UUUCCGUAGGUGAACCUGCGGAAGGAACAUUCAUAAUAAAGUGUUUUAUGGCACUUUUUAAAAAUCCAUAUCCACCUUGUGUGCAAUGUUAGAUCUCGUCAAUCUUGGCGAGAUUUUUAUACAUCAACUCAUUCUUUAACUAAUUUGUCUGAAAAAUAUUAUGAAUACUAAUUCAAAAUACAACUUUCAACAACGGAUCUCUUGGCUCUC
rnacentral:misc_RNA from 1 species